rnacentral:rRNA from 1 species
AGCGAACGCUGGCGGCGUGCUUAACACAUGCAAGUCGCGCGGGGAAAGAGACCCUUCGGGUCUUGAGUAGAGCGGCGGACGGGUGCGUAAGACGCGGGUGACCUAUCCGAGAGGCGGGGAUAACCCAGCGAAAGCGGGGCUAAUACCGGAUGAGCCCCAGGCGGAAACGCGCGGGGGCAAAGGAUGCUACUCGAUAGUGGCAUGUCCUCACGGAGGGGCCCACGGCCUAUCAGCUAG